UACGUAGGGCGCAAGCGUUGUCCGGAAUUAUUGGGCGUAAAGCGCUCGUAGGUGGCUUGUCACGUCGGGUGUGAAAGCUUGGGGCUUAACUCCAGGUCUGCAUUCGAUACGGGCUGGCUAGAGGUAGGUAGGGGAGAUCGGAAUUCCUGGUGUAGCGGUGAAAUGCGCAGAUAUCAGGAGGAGCACCGGUGGCGAAGGCGGAUCUCUGGGCCAUUACUGACGCUGAGGAGCGAAAGCGUGGGGAGCGAACAGG
rnacentral:rRNA from 1 species